UGCGUAAUUGUGUUCAAACUCCCUUGAGUACGUAACAAAAGAUAUAAGUUCCCUGAAAAUUGUGUUAUUUUGAUUAUUGUAGAUGUUUGUUGUUUAGACGAGAGAAAACAAUAUAUGGGUUCAUUCAAUAUGUGGUGGUUUUGGCAGACGCUCUCGCUCUUCAUGAUGCCUCCAUUCAGGUGUCUAUGGGUAUGUUAGCAAGACAAGGGUUUAAUCAAAUCAAUUGCAAAAAAUUUUGUCCCUGCAAAUUUAGGUAAAAUCAAUAAACCCUGACCCAUGUUUUAUUUUGCAGUUGGACACUAAUUAACUGAACAAAGAGACUUGCUUGCUGUUGCAAACAUGGUGGAGUUGUUCUUAGCUGAUCAGUUUAGGGUUUGUGCUGAAUUUCUAAAUUUCUACACAAUAUAAUUUCUUUGGACGUCAAGUUUUGGUUUCAGAUGUUUGCUGUUUAGACGAGAGAAAACAAUAUAUGGAUUCAUUCAAUAUGUGGUGGUUUUGGCAGACGCUCUCGCUCUUCAUGAUGCCUCCAUUCAGGUGUCUAUGGGGAUGUUAGUAAGACAAGGGUUUAAUCAAAUCAACUGCAAUUUUUUUUGUUCCUGCAAUUUUACUUACAAUCUUUGCUCUUGGUAAACCCUAACCCUUUUCUUUCUAUCUCUUCGUUUAUCUGAAUCAAUAAACCUUAACCCAUGUUUUGUUUUGCAGGUAAAAUCAAUAAAACCCUGACCCAUGUUUUAUUUUGCAGGAUCAGCUCAGGAUUCAAGAAAAUCGUUGAGAUCGUACUUUGUAUGGAUGGACUCUCUUUCUUCCCAAAACCUAACCGUGUGAGCUUGGAAGAGCUGAAACUUUGUACUGAUCUCUGGCUUAUACGAGGAACGAUUUUUACAAUUGGUAAACCUGAAAAAAGAAUGACCUUUACUACAAAGCCCUAACCCUAUUUUCCAUUUCUCUAUUUCGUUCUCUUGAUUUCAAUUUAGUUCAAAUUUUGAUGUUUUAAGAUAGAACACUAGAUAAUUAAUUAUCAUUGUUAUAAGAUGUUUUCAGCGUUCAAAAGCAAACAUGGAGCUUCAAGAUAGAUCGUCAGAGGUGGAGCUAUGGUUCUGCUUAGAAGCUAGCAAGGAAGACAAUGAGGAGACUGGGACAAUUUCUACAAAAAGAGGACAUGUUUUCAGUUAGUAUACUAUGACACCCAUUAAAUACAUCUCAUAGUAGCUUGGCAUUGCUUGGUUUUGUGUUGUAUAAAGCUAGCACAUUAGAGAAUUUAGAGUAAUUAGAAAACCCUUUGUCAUCGAAAAUUUAUUUUUGUGUUGUUUAUAGAGUUGUGGAUGAGAAAUGUUAUUCUUCAAGGCAGAGAUGAUCAAAAUCUUUCAUUCAAGAUCAUCUUAAUGAUGCUUUUUGCGACUGCAUAGAUGAUACUGAUGAGCUUGUUUCAUAUUAUCUUCCGAUUGUGGAAGAAAAAAAAAAUUUCCUCGUUCAACCGAAACA